CAGUGAAAAGCAAAUCAAUUACGAGUCAUUUUUCUGUGCCCUGAACUGGAGAGCGAAUCCAAUGCCUGAACUGGAAGCAGUAUCAUACCUUAAAGAGAGAUGUGAAGACGAGUGGCUCGGGAUGCCAUCGCCUAUUCCUGUGAAAUGCAUCAGCUAUUUAAACCUUUUAAAGGACGUGUUUGGCUUAGAGGAGGAGUAACAAUGCAGUUUUGGGUAACUCCCUUUGAUUUCCUGAUUUUCUGCUCUAAUUUGGCCAAGUUUAUUUCAGUCAGUAUAAUUCCAUUAAAAACGAAAAAGAAACACAGUUUGUAUUAAAAUCCAUAGACCAAAAUUACUCUCUUCUUGUCAUUUCAGUUUUUCAGAACAUUAUAUUAUAUUGCCAAUGUACCAGCACUAUUAAAAAUGCCAUUUAGAGAAAUAUUGAGCAUUUUUAUUAUAUGUAUGAUUUAUUAAUACCAAGAAUCUUAUGGUAAUUUUCUAUCCAACAUAAUUUGAUUCAUUACAACACAAAAAGAAAAUGACUUUUGACAGCUAGAUAUGAUAAUAUAAAAUCAGAUUAUACCAGAGCAUUAAGUUGUGAUUCUAUUAAAUAUUUUUUGAAAUCUUUUUGACACAAGAUUAUUACUUAUGUAAUUAAACUUUGUAGCAACUCACCUUUUCAAAAAUAAUUCUUAAACCUCUGUAGAGUGAAGGCAUUUAUUUUCUGAAAUUAGCAAAGCUAUGAGAAGAAAAAAAUCCCCCCUCCCACAACACACACGGGCACACAAAAAUUUGGGAGAGAAAUUAAAACAUAUGCAACAUUUAUGGGUUUUGUUUAUUCGUGGUUUUUUUUUUUUUUUUUUUUUUUUUGCUUUUUACGGCUGCACCUGCAGCAUAUGGAGGUUCCCAGGCUAGGAGUCGAAUUGGAGCUGUAGGUGCCAGUCUACACCACAGCCACGGCAACGCCAGAUCUGAGCUGCGUCUGUGACCUACAGCACAGCUCAUGGAGACGCCAGAUCCCCUACCUACUAAGUGAGGCCAGGAUCAAACCCACAUCCUCAGAUACUAGUUGGAUCUGUUUCUUCUGAGCCACAGUGGGAAUUCCCAGCAUUUAUGUUUUUAAUACCCUUUUAAUAUCUAAAGUUAGCUUGUUAACUUAGGAAUAUAUACAUGAGUAUAUAACUGUAGUAUCACCAAAAAGGUAUUAUGUCUGAACUGUUUAAGGAUGCGAACACUGAAGAUCUUGAGAACUCUUUUUUGGUUCAUUCUCCACACACAUGUAACCACCCAUUCCAGAAGUUUUAACAUCCUAAGACGACAUGUUUCCCUUUUGCAUUUCUCUAGUGCUGUUUUUGUAUGUGUGAUUUCUUUCUUUCUUUCUUUCUUUCUUUUUUUUUCUAGUCCUAUUUGUAUUUUUCUUCUAGAACUAUACAGGAUGAAUCUCAGCAGAACUUUUGUUGUGUAGUGUGUAUUUGAUUACAACUCAUAACCACAGACCUCUGGGAGUUCCCUUUGAGGCAUUUGUCUCAGUCUACCCUCUUCUUCAGUGUUAGGUGCUAUGUAUCCUAAAUCCAGUUGCCUAGUGUUCUCAGAGAUAAUGGAAGCUUAUGGAGAAGGGACGUUGACAUUGACCUUCAGGGACAGCUCUGAGGGGAAGAAGAGGAACAGAUGACAUCUCAAGGGCCCCUUCUUAGUAUUCUUUCAUGCCACAUCUAUAGUAUUUUGCCUAGAAGUGAGCUGGCUUCUUAAUACUCAGAUGUACCAAUUUGCUCAACAACAAUGGCACCUUCAUUUUUUUUUUAAAUUUAAGUUCAUCAAGAAGCCAUUUCUCUGUAUAAACCUAGGAUACUUCUACAUGUGCCAUUGUUAGAAUAGAUCCCUUAGAAUUUUCUGGUAAACUAGAAUAUUCAAUAUAUACUAGAACCAUUUACUCAUAAAAUCUAAUUUUGACUUCUUGAUUUUUGUCCCAGGUCUUUUUUUUUUUUUAAGACAACUGACAGUGCCAAGCCAUUUUGUCACUUUAAGAUUUUCCAUUCCCCAGAGAACAAGCUUGUAGAAAGAUGCCACUUUCCUGGAACUUUUCAGGCUGACACAUUUGUCACUUACCUAUUCAACUCUUCAGUCUGUUCUCUUUCCCUCAAGAUUUAAAAUAUGUAGAUAUUUCAGACCUUGUGCAGGCUCAUAAUACAGUUCUUUUGAGAAGUGGGAGGAGAAAAGUAAAGGAAGCAAGCCAGUGAUAUGCUCCUGAGUUUGUAGGAUGACAACUGCUUGUUCUGUUGCAUAGAUAUGUGUCACUGCCCUGGUUAUUCACAGUGCAAGCCCACAAUUAGCAGUUAAAUGGCCAUUAUAGGAAUCAUGCCGAUAAACAUGAUACAUUGCACUCAUACAGACACUUUAAAUAAUUAUUCUUUUUAUAACUAAGCCAUAUACUGAAGGAGAUUUAUAAUUUAGAGAUAAUAUGCCCAUUAGUAAAGUUUAUGACCCAAUAAACAGCUCCCACUAGUUAAUAAAUGCCAAAGCCAUAAAAACAAAGACUAUUAAUGUAAUAGAAUUUCUGUACCUCCCUCUUUUGCUGGUGGUCUCAAGGCACUGAAGGGAAAUGUUAUCUUAGGAAAAACAUUUAUUCUCGUUAUGUAAAUAUCAAGGAAUUGUCUUACAAUCCAUCUGGAAAUCUCCUGGCCCCCACCUCUUUGGUCCCAGGUGGUCCUGAAAUGCUGAUGCAGUCUGCUUAGGUUUCAAGCAGUAGAUAACUGGUUUUCAGCAGAAAUAAACCCUGUAACUCAAAUCUCUGGGGGAUGUGGGGAAGAUGGCUGUAAUUUCUGUCUCUACCCUCUGAAAAAGAGAAAUCCAAACUAUUGCCUUUAUUCCAGAGUAACAGCUUUUAAAAGUUUCACCACUUUUGCAUACACUUAAAUUUUUAGCUGCCUCUUCCCAUCCCUCUGAAAAAGAGAAAUCCCAACUGUUGUCAUUGUUCCUGGGUAAUAAUUUUGAAAGGAGUUUCACAACCUUUGCGUAUCCUUACAUUUUUAGCUGCUAAUAUUUCUCAUUUUGACAGAAAAGCAAGUGCCGCCUGUGGAUGUCUGGGUGAGCUGAAAGUUAAUAUAGGCAGACCUUUUUGUUUUUUAGUAUUCCUGGAACUGUGAGAAUGACUGAUAAAGUCAUUUGAAAGCCCACAUCGUCAUGGCUUUUUAUCAGAAACUGAUGAAAAGCUGUUGAACUUCACAUUAAAUGGUUUUGCGGACUCAUCGUUGUCAGAUCUGGAGGUUGUCAGUGCUUAUUUGCCCUCCUCCCCCCUUUUAACCCAACUGACCCAUUUGGACCUGUUUGAGAAGCACUGUGGAUAUGUCUGUUGGUUGACAUUGGUGCUUACUAAAUAAAAUAGUUAAAAAUUUUAGACAAUAGAGAAGAGAUGAAGAGCACUGUAACUUUUCAGCUUUAGGAUAGCUUAAACGUUUUGCCUACUUGAGUUUUGGUGGAUUGCCUCUGAUCCAAUUAAUGUCAAAUGCACCAUUCUUGGUCUUUGUUUGAAGUUAGAUUUCAGGCGAGGCAGUUGUAUGGAUACCUCCGUCAUGAGUUUUGGGUAUUUAAGUUGCCCUUUCUUCUUUCAAAUAGUUGGGAAUUAUGGAACAAAAUGAAUUCUCUCCAAGUUAAAAAAAAAAACAAACAAACAGGAGUUCCCGUCAUGGAGCAGUGGAAACGAAUCCCAUUAGGAACCAUAAGGUUGUGGGUUCGAUCCCUGGCCUCGCUCAGUGAGUUAAGGAUCCAGAGUUGCUGUGAGCUGUGUUGUAGGUCACAGACACAGCUUGGAUCCUGCAUUGCUGUGGCUGUGGUGUAGGCCGGCACACUUGACCCUUAGCCUGGGAACCUCCAUAUGCUGCAGGUGCGGCCCUAAAAAGCAAAAACAAACAAACAAACAAACAAACAAACAAACUCUUGCCUUUACAACUUGGGUUUAUUUAUCUUAAUUUGGGUGAGAACUGAUUCAUAGCCUUUUCACUUGUUCCUCAUUUCCAUGACCCUUCCUCUGUACAUUAUGAUUUUGCUGUAAGUUUGGCAGUUGGAGUCAUUGCUACUAAUGAAAUAGCAGUAGCAUCAAAAUAUUUCUGAUGCUUAAUAGUGCAGAAACCAUUGAGUAAUGAAUAGUCAUGUUCCCAAUUAUAUGUAUAUUCUUUUUAGUUAAAAAUAUAGAUUCCUGGAGUUCCCUGGUGGCUCAGUGGGUUAAAGAGCCUGUGUGGUCACUGCUGUGGCUCUGGUGACAGCUGUGGUGUGAGUUCAGUCCCUGGCCUGGAAACUUAACACAUGCUGCAGAUGUGGCCAAAAAAAAAAAAAAAGAAUAUAGAUUUCUGCAUUUUGAAUAUCCUUCAGAAUUGGUCUGUAAAUAGUCUUUCAGAAGGACAGCUUCCAAAUGAUGAUAUUAAACAUAUACUCAAGCGACGAGUCUCUGCCCUCAUAUUUGUUUGGGCCAAGUUUGAACUGCUUAGAGUUGAAAGAAGGUUAAGACUUUUUCAAAAAUGAGUCUCUUCAAGUUGAGUGAGCAUCUUCAGAAACGCAGUGCUUCUCAAUUCCCAAGAGAACGCAAUGUGUGAAAAUGGAAAACCUACUGAGGCAAGUUCAAUGAAGCUAUUUAACAAAUAAACCUGUAGUGAUAAUGGAACAAACAUCCUGAUUACAAAGGGUAGUGCUGACUGUGCAAUUAGUUGAAAAGAAAUUGUAAUUCACACCCCCUCACCUUCUUCUUCCAGGUUGUAUAUCGGUUUUAAUAAACAUUUUCAUUCAAAUUCAGUUAAGUUCCCCCAAACUAAAGAGUUCUAAGACCAGAAUGUGCAUCUCCUUUGCAUUUGUUCCGGGGUCCCAGUAAAAUUCCUUCUGUGGGGACUUCGGAGCCCAUUAUGUGGUGGAUGGCACACAGGAAGCCAAGGGUCAGCACUGCUGCUCAGAAGCAACUGGAAACGGCUGAAAAAUGUGGCUGAUGAAAAACUCCACAGUGGCUCUGCAAGGAGAGAAUUAAUGACGGGCUAGAAUCAGUAGGAGCCUUUACUUCUAAAUACUCAUUAGUUUAAGCAGUGAGGCCUGAUGUUAUGCAAGUUAUAGAGGGAAAGGGGGCCCGCCCCUCCCCAUUGUCUGUUUUGAACAGAAUAUGCACAUUUAACUCAAAGUGGUGAAUGGUUCAAACACAUCAAACCAACUAUUCAUCAAUCUCCCAGCUUCCUGAGCACCGCUUUGCUUCUGUGUAAAGCCAACAAUAGAGGAAAUGCUUGUUAUGACCCCACUAUAAUAUUAAAAUCCAGAGGGGCCGAUGGCUCAGUGAAAAACACAAAAUACAUUCUUCCUUAGAAACAGUUCCACCAAAGUCAUCUUGUGUGUUUCCUUCGUCUUACUUUGCCUGCACAAGAACAGCUGACUGUAAUAGGAACUUGAUAAGGUUACUUGUGCCUGCUUUUUUGCCUCCCCUUGCUACCCCUGUUUUCCAUUCUUGCUGUGAAGCCAUUCACUGAAUACAGAACAGAGCUGACAAGCCAUUUCAGACUGCCGCAGACAACCCCAGAUGAAGAGAGAGAAGGGAAGUGGCAAGAGCCGACAAUUGCUGGGGAGAGCCGGUUGAGAAUAGGGACCGCCUUGUGUGUGUAAGUCUCGUGAAAGAGCUUGAACUUCAUCCUAAGGGCAUGAAAAAUGACUGAAAGAUUUUAAUCUGGAGAAUGAAAAGAUUAUGUCUGUAUUUCAAACUCUCUGGCUGCUUUGUGUGGGUGAACUACAAGAGUGAGUUUGGCAGUGAGAAGGCUGACUAGGAGGCUGUUGCCAGAGAAGUGAUGGGUGGUUUGGAUUCACAUCAUGUCAGCGAUGCUGUGAGGUUGGUGGGAAGUGGAGAUUCAGGACACAAUCAGAAUACUGAAGAUGAGGGAGAAGAAGAAAUCAAAAUUAGGACUAGGUUAUUUGGGCAGCAAGGUAGGUAGGUGUUGCCAUUCGUCAUGCUGGGAUAUACCAGAGAAAAAUCAAGUUUGAGGGGGAAUUAACAAUUCUGCCUUGAGAGUUCACUGGUGGCUCAGUGGGUUAAGGAUGUGGCAUUGUCACUGUUGUGGCUCUGGUUACUGCUGUGGUGUGGAUUCGAUCCCUGGCCCGGGAACUUCCCUGGCAGGUGCAGCCAAAAAAAAAAAAAAAA
ensembl:lncRNA